rnacentral:rRNA from 1 species
CUACGGGCUGCACCAGUGGGGAAUAUUGCACAAUGGGCGCAAGCCUGAUGCAGCCAUGCCGCGUGUAUGAAGAAGGCCUUCGGGUUGUAAAGUACUUUCAGCGGGGAGGAAGGUAGUAAAGUUAAUACCUUUGCCCAUUGACGUUACCCGCAGAAGAAGCACCGGCUAACUCCGUGCCAGCAGCCGCGGUAAUACGGAGGGUGCAAGCGUUAAUCGGAAUUACUGGGCGUAAGGCGCACGCAGGCGGUUUGUUAAGUCAGAUGUGAAAUCCCCGGGCUCAACCUGGGAACUGCAUCUGAUACUGGCAAGCUUGAGUCUCGGAGAGGGGGGUAGAAUUCCAGGUGUAGCGGUGAAAUGCGUAGAGAUCUGGAGGAAUACCGGUGGCGAAGGCGGCCCCCUGGACGAAGACUGACGCUCAGGUGCGAAAGCGUGGGGAGCAAACAGGAUUAGAUACCCCCGUAGUC